UUUCCAUUUUUGCAUAAAGGCCCGCCCUGACAGUCUGCGUUAAGUUGAAAUCAUUACUGAAAGAGUGCCGCAGCAGACGCUUUUAUC